rnacentral:rRNA from 1 species
CCUACGGGUGGCAGCAGUGGGGAAUAUUGGACAAUGGGCGAAAGCCUGAUCCAGCCAUGCCGCGUGUGUGAAGAAGGCCUUCGGGUUGUAAAGCACUUUCAGUGGGGAAGAAAGCCUUGGGGCUAAUACCCUCGAGGAAGGACAUCACCCACAGAAGAAGCAACGGCUAACUCCGUGCCAGCAGCCGCGGUAAUACGGAGGGUGCGAGCGUUAAUCGGAAUUACUGGGCGUAAAGCGCGCGUAGGCGGUCUGAUAAGCCGGUUGUGAAAGCCCCGGGCUCAACCUGGGAACGGCAUCCGGAACUGUCAGGCUAGAGUGCAGGAGAGGAAGGUAGAAUUCCCGGUGUAGCGGUGAAAUGCGUAGAGAUCGGGAGGAAUACCAGUGGCGAAGGCGGCCUUCUGGACUGACACUGACGCUGAGGUGCGAAAGCGUGGGUAGCAAACAGGAUUAGAUACCCCGGUAGUC